rnacentral:SRP_RNA from 1 species
CGGCGGGUCUUAGGCGGGGGGCUAGGGGUCCCUUGACAGGCUUCCAAGCCUCGACCGUAAACCCUCUAUAGGACGGGCCGAGAGCUGAGGUGAGGCGCAGAAGAUCACCAGAACCUCUGUCAUCCAGCUAUGAGUAUCCGUCCUCUGGGGCCGGCGGUCGUGGAGCGGUCUCCGUAGGGAGGUCGUAACCACGUUUGCCAGGCGAACUCGGCCAGGCCCGGGAGGGAGCAACCUAAGCUUGGACGUUCGGCGCUCAGAGGGGUGCGGGUAUGAGUGAAGAGGCUGAAGGGACCUGGUGAAAACUAUGCGUCGAACCUCAGUGACCCGCCG